rnacentral:rRNA from 1 species
UUAAGUUAGAAAGGGCGCACGGUGGAUGCCUUGACACUAGGAGUCGAUGAAGGACGGGACUAACGCCGAUAUGCUUCGGGGAGCUGUAAGUAAGCUUUGAUCCGAAGAUUUCCGAAUGGGGAAACCCACCAUACGUAAUGGUAUGGUAUCCUUAUCUGAAUACAUAGGGUAAGGAAGACAGACCCAGGGAACUGAAACAUCUAAGUACCUGGAGGAAGAGAAAGCAAAUGCGAUUUCCUGAGUAGCGGCGAGCGAAACGGAACAUAGCCCAAACCAAGAGGCUUGCCUCUUGGGGUUGUAGGACAUUCUAUACGGAGUUACAAAGGAACGAGGUAGACGAAGCGACCUGGAAAGGUCCGUCGUAGAGGGUAACAACCCCGUAGUCGAAACUUCGUUCUCUCUUGAAUGUAUCCUGAGUACGGCGGAACACGUGAAAUUCCGUCGGAAUCUGGGAGGACCAUCUCCCAAGGCUAAAUACUCCCUAGUGAUCGAUAGUGAACCAGUACCGUGAGGGAAAGGUGAAAAGCACCCCGGAAGGGGAGUGAAAGAGAUCCUGAAACCGUGUGCCUACAAAUAGUCAGAGCCCGUUAACGGGUGAUGGCGUGCCUUUUGUAGAAUGAACCGGCGAGUUACGAUCCCGUGCGAGGUUAAGCUGAAGAGGCGGAGCCGCAGCGAAAGCGAGUCUGAAUAGGGCGUUUAGUACGUGGUCGUAGACCCGAAACCAGGUGAUCUACCCAUGUCCAGGGUGAAGUUCAGGUAACACUGAAUGGAGGCCCGAACCCACGCACGUUGAAAAGUGCGGGGAUGAGGUGUGGGUAGCGGAGAAAUUCCAAUCGAACCUGGAGAUAGCUGGUUCUCCCCGAAAUAGCUUUAGGGCUAGCCUUAAGUGUAAGAGUCUUGGAGGUAGAGCACUGAUUGGACUAGGGGUCCUCAUCGGAUUACCGAAUUCAGUCAAACUCCGAAUGCCAAUGACUUAUCCUUAGGAGUCAGACUGCGAGUGAUAAGAUCCGUAGUCAAAAGGGAAACAGCCCAGACCGCCAGCUAAGGUCCCAAAGUGUGUAUUAAGUGGAAAAGGAUGUGGAGUUGCUUAGACAACUAGGAUGUUGGCUUAGAAGCAGCCACCAUUUAAAGAGUGCGUAAUAGCUCACUAGUCGAGUGACUCUGCGCCGAAAAUGUACCGGGGCUAAAUACACCACCGAAGCUGCGGAUUGAUACCAAUGGUAUCAGUGGUAGGGGAGCGUUCUAAGGACAGUGAAGUCAGACCGUAAGGACUGGUGGAGUGCUUAGAAGUGAGAAUGCCGGUAUGAGUAGCGAAAGACGGGUGAGAAUCCCGUCCACCGAAUGCCUAAGGUUUCCUGAGGAAGGCUCGUCCGCUCAGGGUUAGUCAGGACCUAAGCCGAGGCCGACAGGCGUAGGCGAUGGACAACAGGUUGAUAUUCCUGUACCACCUCUUUAUCGUUUGAGCAAUGGAGGGACGCAGAAGGAUAGAAGAAGCGUGCGAUUGGUUGUGCACGUCCAAGCAGUUAGGCUGAUAAGUAGGCAAAUCCGCUUAUCGUGAAGGCUGAGCUGUGAUGGGGAAGCUCCUUAUGGAGCGAAGUCUUUGAUUCCCCGCUGCCAAGAAAAGCUUCUAGCGAGAUAAAAGGUGCCUGUACCGCAAACCGACACAGGUAGGCGAGGAGAGAAUCCUAAGGUGUGCGAGAGAACUCUGGUUAAGGAACUCGGCAAAAUGACCCCGUAACUUCGGGAGAAGGGGUGCUUUCUUAACGGAAAGCCGCAGUGAAUAGGCCCAAGCGACUGUUUAGCAAAAACACAGCUCUCUGCGAAGCCGUAAGGCGAAGUAUAGGGGGUGACACCUGCCCGGUGCUGGAAGGUUAAGGAGAGGGGUUAGCGUAAGCGAAGCUCUGAACUGAAGCCCCAGUAAACGGCGGCCGUAACUAUAACGGUCCUAAGGUAGCGAAAUUCCUUGUCGGGUAAGUUCCGACCCGCACGAAAGGUGUAACGAUUUGGGCACUGUCUCAACCAGAGACUCGGUGAAAUUAUAGUACCUGUGAAGAUGCAGGUUACCCGCGACAGGACGGAAAGACCCCGUGGAGCUUUACUGUAGCCUGAUAUUGAAUUUUGGUACAGUUUGUACAGGAUAGGCGGGAGCCAUUGAAACCGGAGCGCUAGCUUCGGUGGAGGCGCUGGUGGGAUACCGCCCUGACUGUAUUGAAAUUCUAACCUACGGGUCUUAUCGACCCGGGAGACAGUGUCAGGUGGGCAGUUUGACUGGGGCGGUCGCCUCCUAAAGUGUAACGGAGGCGCCCAAAGGUUCCCUCAGAAUGGUUGGAAAUCAUUCGUAGAGUGCAAAGGCAUAAGGGAGCUUGACUGCGAGACCUACAAGUCGAGCAGGGACGAAAGUCGGGCUUAGUGAUCCGGUGGUUCCGCAUGGAAGGGCCAUCGCUCAACGGAUAAAAGCUACCCCGGGGAUAACAGGCUUAUCUCCCCCAAGAGUCCACAUCGACGGGGAGGUUUGGCACCUCGAUGUCGGCUCAUCGCAUCCUGGGGCUGUAGUCGGUCCCAAGGGUUGGGCUGUUCGCCCAUUAAAGCGGUACGCGAGCUGGGUUCAGAACGUCGUGAGACAGUUCGGUCCCUAUCCGUCGUGGGCGUAGGAAAUUUGAGAGGAGCUGUCCUUAGUACGAGAGGACCGGGAUGGACGCACCGCUGGUGUACCAGUUGUUCUGCCAAGGGCAUAGCUGGGUAGCUAUGUGCGGAAGGGAUAAGUGCUGAAAGCAUCUAAGCAUGAAGCCCCCCUCAAGAUGAGAUUUCCCAUAGCGUAAGCUAGUAAGAUCCCUGAAAGAUGAUCAGGUUGAUAGGUUCGAGGUGGAAGCAUGGUGACAUGUGGAGCUGACGAAUACUAAUAGAUCGAGGACUUAACCA